GAGAAAGUCAGAUGCACAGUGAGACUUUCUCCAACAGCGUUCAGCAGUUCUGAAGCAUUUUUGGAGGUAUCGAGUGAGCUUGGUGUGCCAGGGUUGUUGUUGGGGGGGCCUGCAGCGUUUAAAUGUACAAGGUGCCAUAAUGUCUAGUUGAGAGGAGAGGGUGGAAUUGUAGGAGGUUGCAGAACUAGGACAGGUGAGGUUUGAGAUAGGUAAAAGGAGAGUUUGGAGAUUAGUGGAGAAAUGCUCUAGGUCAAGACAUUGGAGGUUUCUGUGAGAGUGAUGUUCAGACGGUGGUGUCAAUUGGGUCUUAGGUAUGCCAAUGUCAAAAGUCAGCAGAUGGUGGUCAGAUAGAGGAAAAGGAAUAUUGGAGAGAUUAGAGGCAGUACAGAGGUUGGUGAAGGCAAGAUCAAGAGUGUUUCCUGCUGUAUGGGUUGCUAAAUUGGAC